rnacentral:rRNA from 1 species
UACGUAGGGUGCAAGCGUUAAUCGGAAUUACUGGGCGUAAAGCGUGCGCAGGCGGUUCGCUAAGGCAGAUGUGAAAUCCCCGGGCUUAACCUGGGAACUGCACUUGUGGCUGGCGGGCUAGAGUAUGGCAGAGGGGGGUAGAAUUCCACGUGUAGCAGUGAAAUGCGUAGAGAUGUGGAGGAAUACCGAUGGCGAAGGCAGCCCCCUGGGCCAAUACUGACGCUCAUGCACGAAAGCGUGGGGAGCAAACAGG